GUAUCUGGAGAUUUAUCCGAUAUUGUGUUAAUUUGUAUUAUUUCUUGGUAUAGAUGGACAAGAAACCAUGGCCACUAUGUCUGCAGCACUUGGGGAAACAACCACUUCAAAACUUUUGAUGGCGACGUCUACCAAUUCCCUGGCGUUUGCGAGUAUAAUUUUGUUUCCGACUGCCGAGAUGCUUACAAGGAAUUCUCUGUCCACAUCCAGCGUGCUCUCAACAGCAAUGGCCAUCCUGAGAUCCAGUAUAUUCUGAUGAAAAUCAAGGAUAUAACCGUCUACCUCAAACCAAACCUGGUUGUGGUGGAUGGGCGGAUUGUGAAGACACCUUACUACUCCUCUGGUGUCUUCAUUGAGGCCAGUGAAAUUUACACCAAGAUUUAUGCCAAAUUAGGCAUGGUUCUGAUGUGGAACCAGCAGGAUGCCCUGAUGGUGGAGCUGGACAACAAAUUUAAUAACCAUACCUGUGGUCUCUGUGGGGAUUACAAUGGAAUUCAAAUCUACAAUGAGUUCAUCAAAGGAGGUGACUACAACUCAAUUACAUUUGGGAACAUGCAGAAGAUCAGCAAACCCACUGCCAAAUGUGAAGAUCCAGAUGAAACCCAGGCUCUUCCAAGCUGUAAUGAGCAUCGUGAUGAGUGUCACAGGUUGCUGACUUCCCCUGCAUUUGCUGAUUGUCGGCUACGGCUUAAUUUGGAAAUGUACAUCCAAGCCUGCAUGCAGGACAAGUGUGCCUGUAAUGGGAAGACAGACUCCUUCUGCCUCUGCAGCACCAUCUCUGAGUAUUCCCGCCAGUGUUCGCACGCAGGGGGCCGCCCAAGAGAAUGGAGGACAGAGAGCUUCUGCCCCAAGAGCUGUCCUGCUACCAUGGUCUACAGAGAAAGCAGCUCACCCUGCAUGGAUACUUGCUCACACUUGGACAUCAGCAGCCUUUGUGAGGAGCACUACAUGGAUGGCUGUUUCUGCCCUGAAGGAACUGUGUAUGAUGAUAUCAGUGAAAAAGGCUGCAUCCCUGUUAGCCAGUGCCACUGCAAACUUGGUGGAAAGACCUAUGCACCUGGAGAAAGGAUUUCCAAAGAAUGUGAAGAAUGCACCUGUAAUUCAGGCAGAUGGACCUGCAAAGACCUAGACUGUCCAGGCACAUGCUCAGUGGAAGGAGGUUCCCAUAUUUCCACCUUUGAUGGGAAGAAAUACACCUUCCAUGGAGACUGCUACUAUGUGUUGGCCAAGGGUACUGAAAAUGAGAAUUAUGCUCUCCUGGCAGAGCUGGCUCCCUGUGGCUCCACAGACAAACAGACCUGCUUGAAGACUGUUGUGCUGUUAGCAGAUAACAAAAAGAAUGUGGUGGUUUUCAGAUCAGAUGGCAGCGUGCUCCUGAAUGACAUGACAGUGAAUGUGCCUCAUGUGUCAGCCAGCUUCUCAGUAUUCAAGCCGUCUUCCAACUACUUUGUUGUACAAACUUCUUUUGGGCUUCAGAUGCAGAUCCAGCUGUUUCGAGUCAUGCAGCUGUUUGUGACUGUGGAUCAAUCAGUUAAAGGAAAACUUCAAGGUCUUUGUGGAAACUUCAAUGGAGUGGAAGGUGAUGACUUUAGAACAACCAGCGGGCUGAUUGAGGCUACAGGAUCUGCCUUUGCUAACACAUGGAAAGCUCAGUCCACCUGCUCAGACCAGGCAGAAAAGCUGGAAGACCCCUGCAGUCUCAGCAUUGAAAGUGCAAAUUAUGCUGAGCAUUGGUGUUCUUUGCUGAGAAACCCAAAGGGUCCUUUUGCAAGAUGUCACUCAGCCAUUGAUCCUUCAGAAUACUAUAAGAAAUGUAAAUAUGACACCUGCCUCUGUGAAGACAAUGAAGAAUGUUUGUGUGCUGCCCUGUCCUCUUACUCAAGAGCCUGUGCUUUCAAAGGGAUCAUACUGGGAAACUGGAGAAACAGUGUCUCAUCUUCUUGCUCAGGAAAUCAAGUCUUCCUUUACAAUCUUACAAUGUGCCAGCAAACCUGUCGUUCCCUUGCUGAUGGUGAAAAGUAUUGCUUGCAAGACUUUGCUCCUGUGGAUGGCUGUGGCUGCCCAUCCAAUACAUACUUGGAUAACCAGGAUAACUGUGUGCCCAUCUCCCAGUGCCCAUGUUAUUACAAGGGCUCAUACCUGGAACCUGGGGAAUAUUUCACAAAAGAUGGAGAACGCUGGUAUGUUUUAUUUUGGCUUCUUUUUUGUGAAGAAGCAUGUUCUUCCAACAAGACAUACUUUGACUGCAGUGCAGAGUGUGUCUCAGGCUGUGUGUGUCCUGAAGGUCUAUUUGAUGAUGGCAGAGGGGGCUGUGUUGAGCAAAAAGAUUGCCCAUGCAUUCAUAACAAUGAGUUGUAUUCUUCUGGACACAAGAUAAAAGUGGACUGCAACACUUGCACCUGCCAGAAAGGGCUUUGGAAAUGCACUGAUGACGUGUGCUAUGGGACUUGCACAAUAUAUGGAAGUGGCCAUUAUAACACUUUUGAUGGGAAAUUCUAUGACUUUGAUGGGAGCUGUGAAUAUGUGGCUGCUCAGGUAAUUGGCUCAUUCAGUAUCAUCACAGAGAAUGUCCCUUGUGGAACUACAGGAGUCACCUGCUCAAAGGCUAUCAAAAUGUUCCUAGGGAAAACUGAACUGAAAUUGGAGAACAAAGAGUACAAAGAAAUUCAGCGAGAUGUUGGUGAUGAUGUGCAGUAUUGGAACAGGACAGUCGGGCUGUACUUGGUUAUUGAGGCUAGCAAUGGUGUGAUGCUGAUCUGGGACAAGAAGACCACUGUUUUCAUCAAGCUGAGCCCUGAUUACAAAGGCAAAGUGUGUGGUCUGUGUGGCAACUUUGAUGACAAGGCAAACAACGAUUUUACAACAAGGAGUGGACUGCAGGACUCUAAUCCUCUGAUUUUUGGAAAUUCCUGGAAACAAUCUCCCAUGUGCCCAGAUGUCACAAAAGAGAUUAAGCCCUGUGAUCUGAAACCACACCGGAAAUCCUGGGCAGAGAAAGAAUGCAGCAUCAUCCAGAGCGAAGUCUUCGAAAUUUGUCACUCCAAGGUGAACCCACUUCCUUUCUAUGAAGCUUGUGUUCAUGAUGCCUGCUCUUGUGACAGUGGUGGAGAUUGCGAGUGCUUCUGCUCUGCAGUUGCAGCGUACGCCCAAGAGUGCAUCAAGGCUGAGGCCUGUGUUUUCUGGAGAACUCCUGAUAUCUGCCCCAUAUUCUGUGACUACUACAACCCUCGCAAUGAGUGUGACUGGCACUACGAGCCUUGUGGCAGUAAUAUCACAACCUGCAGGAUGAUCAAUAACGUCAGCACCAACUUUACAAUACCACUACUGGAAGGCUGCUACCCCAGAUGCCCUAAGGACAAGCCUAUUUAUAAUGAAGAGACAAAGGAAUGUGUGACUGAAGACAAAUGUGGAUGUUACCUCGAGGAUGGAACCCAUGUACCCCCUGGGCAAGAAGUAGUCACAGAAGACAACUGUACAAUAUGGUAUAUAAAAAUUACUUGCAGUAAUUCAGGAAAUAAUUUGUGUAUGCGGAUUAUCGGAAAAGUACAGGAUGGCGACAUAUGUAUAAUAUACAUUUGUGCAGAAGAUGGUACUACAAAUAUUACGAUCGUGCCUUGUCCAACAACUUCACCUACAACCAUUUCAACCUCCUUCCCUUCCAGCACUCUUACCACCACCACCACCACAGCUCCUUGCUUUGGACUGAUCUGUGAGUGGACUGAGUGGUUUGAUGUUAGCAAACCUGAAGAAGGUGAUGGUGACUAUGAAACAUACGAGGAAAUAAGAAACCAUGGAAACAAAAUAUGUAGAGCUCCUGAAAAAAUUGAAUGCAGGGCUAAGGAUAAACCUGAUGUGAGCUUAGAAGAACUUGGUCAGAAAGUCCAGUGUAAUGUUACAUAUGGGCUAAUCUGUAAAAAUGAUGAGCAAGAUGUAACUAUGUGGCAACUUUGCUAUAAUUAUGAAAUCAGAGUAAACUGUUGUGAGUGGCAAGAAAUACCUUGUGAGCCUACAACUACACCUACUACACCACAAACUACAACUUCAACCACCAUCAAGACAAUACCCACCACCACUACAAUCAGGACUUCAACCACACCUAUAGCCGAGCCUACCACAAGUGAGUAUAUACCACCAGUCUUCACUCCAGUAACCUCAACAUCUACAGGCACACCCAGCACAGCAUCCCCAACAACAGAAUUGCCAACCACUCCCCCACCACCAGAGACUCCCAUCACCACCACCCCCACUACCACCACCACCACCACCAGAGGACCAACGACAACAACAACUGUUCCACCAACAACCACCACAGUUACAGAAGGUAUGAUCCAAAACCAAAUAAUUCCCACCAAAAGCCCUGUGCCUCCAACUACAGUACCAACACAGAAUUCUCUUGGGAUGCCCAAGGCAUCAGCUGUGUGUGAGCUGGUGCCCUGCAUUGGUGUCUCUGUCCUGUCUGUUUCUAAUUGUCUGUCUUGUUGUCGCCUCCCAGGCUGUGACUGCGUCUGGUCGGACUGGAUUGACAUGACUUACCCAAAUGCUUCUGACAAGGACAGUGGUGACUACGAAACCUUUGAGAACAUUUGGAAGAACUUCCCCUCCUGGGAGUGUGCAAAAGUUGAAAAUGUUUCUUGCCGAUCAGAGAAAUUCCCUAACAUUCCCAUUGCAGAUUUAGGGCAGAAAGUGGAAUGUAGUGUUGACGUAGGUCUCGUCUGUAACAAUAAAGACCAGCAGAUAGGAGAGGGUACCACAACACCUGAACCAGAGACGUCGACAAAGACAAACACUCCAGUUACUCCUUCAACUACCCCUCUGCCAACAACAAGAACAACAGAAGUAAGUACACCUACUGCAAGCACCACUAGUCAACAGUCAACAUCACCAGUGUCAACAAGCCCAGUGACAGCUACCACCUCUGAAGUCACUGAAACAACACCAACCACCAAGACCACCACUUCAGGUCCCACACCCUCAAGAUCCACCAGCACCACACCAGUAACAGAAACACCUUAUCAUGAGACCACUACCAUCAGGACCCCAAGCCCCCAAUCUACCACCACUUCCAGCCCUGGCACCACCACAACCUCGGGACCAAGCAGCACUACAGUAACACCACCACCAAUAACAACAACCACCAAGACCACCACUUCAGGCCCCACACCCUCAGUGUCCACUCCCCCCACCACCACAGGAGGAACCGAAAUAAGUACCCCAGGGACAACCUCUGCAACUGUUACUACUCCAACAACAUCACCUGCAUCAACCAGCCCUGUGUCAACCACCACCUCUGGUACUACUCCAACAGAAAGCUUUACCACCACUUCAGGAACCACCUCCGUCAAUGUAACCACCACCUCCACCACAUUCACAACCCUUCCCCCUAGCUCAACUACUACAUCUGGGCCAACUGCAACAUCAACUGCAGUCACCACUACAGGAAGUUCUACGCACAGUGCAACUCCUCCAGUUAAUGGCUCAAGUUCAACUACAAGUCUAACACCAACCACUCCUAAAAAGACUUGUACUAUUUUCCCUAAUGAAUCUUAUGAGGUGAGUAGAUUUCAUGCUUUCAUUGUGCUUUGGAUGGUGACUAGACAUAUCACUUCAAUAAACCUGCAGAAGAUAUUCAGGCAUAACUGUGGUCAGUCUCACUACUUCCUAAGGUUUGUCUCUGUCUCCUCCCUCCUCUCUUUUCAAACACAGCAAGGUGACUCAUGGUGGCUCUGUAACUGCACUAAGGCAAUAUGUAUAGAAGACAACAUUGUCCAGGUGAUUCCAGUAAUCUGCAAUCCACCUCCGAAACCCACAUGUGCCAAUGGACUGUCUCCUGUGCCAGUCAUUGAUGAGGAUGGAUGCUGUUGGCACUGGGAGUGUGAUUGCUACUGCACUGGCUGGGGAGAUCCACAUUACAUGACUUUUGAUGGAUUGUACUACAGCUUUCAAGGAAAUUGUACAUAUGUCCUUGUGGAAGAGAUCAUUAAGAACGUUGACACCUUUGGUGUCUACAUUGAUAACUACCAUUGUGAUACACGGGAUGUAGUGUCCUGUCCUCGAACGCUCAUUGUGAGACACGAGACUCAGGAAAUCAGGCUAAGAACAGCAGAACCAAAUACUCUACAAGUGACAGUAAACAACCAGCUCGUGGCUUUACCUUAUAAAAAGUUUGGCGUGAGCAUCUAUGAGUCAGGCAUAAAUCGUGUUGUGGAAAUUCCUGAGCUGAAAAUGAAUGUGACCUACAAUGGCUUGUCCUUUUCUAUCAGAAUGCCCUACAGCCUGUUUGGCAACAACACCCAGGGACAGUGUGGUACUUGCAAUAACAACACAGCAGAUGACUGCAUGCUGCCAGAUGGAAAAAUUAUAGAUAACUGUGAAAUCAUGGCAGAUCAUUGGCAAGUUAAUGAUCCUUCCAAACCACAGUGCUCUCCAAGCCUAGUUCCUACAGGUUCACCAAGCACAACACCAACACAGCCUUGCAAAGAAUCUUCCAUCUGCGAGCUUCUUUUGGGAAGUGUGUUCAAGCCAUGCCAUUCCUUUGUCCAGCCUGAAAAGUACUAUGCAGCCUGUGUUUUUGAUAGCUGUGUACUUCCCAACCUAGACCUGGAAUGCUCAAGUCUGCAGAUCUAUGCUGCCACCUGUGCUGAUCAAGGCGUGUGCAUUGACUGGAGAAAACACACCAAUGGUGUCUGCUCUCAUGAAUGUCCUCCUGGUAAAGAAUACAGAGCAUGUGGUCCUAUUAAAGAGAUGACCUGCAAAUCAAGAGGACAGAAUGACACAUCAACUAAACAAGUGGAAGGCUGUUUCUGUCCUAAUGGAACCAUGCUGUAUGACUCUGGUGUGGAUGUCUGCGUGAAAACUUGUGGCUGUGUUGGAGUGGAUAUGAUACCAAGAGAGUUUGGAGAAAAGUUUACAGUGGACUGUCAGGACUGCAUUUGCCUGGAAGGUGAACAUGGCAUUGUAUGUCAACCUCAUGUAUGUGAUCAGAAGAAGGUCACUUGUGAUGGAGAAGGCUUCUAUGAAGUCACCGAAGUCAAUCCUAAAGACCCCUGCUGCCCUCUUUUCACUUGCAAAUGCAAUACAAGCUUGUGCACAGCCAAAGCCCCCAAGUGCUCACUGGGAUUCGAAGUUCAUUCUCAUAUUCCCAGUGGUCAGUGCUGUCCUGUAUACCAAUGUGGUAAGUCCCUUGGAAAUAUGAUGAGCCUUAUACCCAACUCCUCAGUCUUUGUUGACAAGUGUCAGAAUUGUGUGUGCACAAACGAUGUUAACGUCAGCACUCAACUGAACAUCAUCUCCUGUCAACAUGUCCCCUGCAGCACAUACUGUGAACCAGGAUAUGAACUUAAACCAGUGAAAGGUGAAUGCUGUGGAAAAUGUGUGCAGACCAAGUGUAUUAUACACACAGCAGACAAUUCUGAACUCAUCUUGAGUGUAACACUUCCAUUAGUCACAACUGUGGCUCUUCUCACAGGAGUGCUGUACCUGAUUUCACCCUCUCCUAUAUGUUGGCUUCUGGCACAGAGUAACAUUGCCAUUUUGCAUGUUAACAGAUACUCUGCUGAGGCUAAUUCUAUGGACCACAGCUGCUCCUGCUGCAGAGAAACAAGGACCACUGAGAAGCAUGUGGUUCUGAAAUGCCCCGGUGGGCACUCAGUGUCACACAAGUACAUCUAUGUGGAGAGCUGCAGCUGUCAAGACACUGCAUGCAGCAGGCCCCAGACGUAUCUAAGGGACUGCCUGUUUAUCUUAUUGUAA
rnacentral:lncRNA from 1 species